UACGGAGGAUCCAAGCGUUAUCCGGAUUUAUUGGGUUUAAAGGGUGCGUAGGCGGAUUGAUAAGUUAGAGGUGAAAUGUCCGAGCUUAACUCGGGAACUGCCUCUAAUACUGUUGAUCUAGAGAGUAGAUGCGGUAGGCGGAAUGUAUGGUGUAGCAGUGAAAUGCUUAGAGAUCAUACAGAACACCGAUUGCGAAGGCAGCUUACCAAUCUAUAUCUGACGUUGAGGCACGAAAGCGUGGGGAGCAAACAGG
rnacentral:rRNA from 1 species